UUUAUCCCCCCGGGGAAAAUAGCAUAUCAAUAAGCGGAGGAAAAGAAACCAACAGGGAUUGCCCUAGUAACGGCGAGUGAAGCGGCAACAGCUCAAAUUUGAAAUCUGGCUCUUUUAGAGUCCGAGUUGUAAUUUGCAGAGGGCGCUUUGGCUUUGGCAGCGGUCCAAGUUCCUUGGAACAGGACGUCACAGAGGGUGAGAAUCCCGUACGUGGUCGCUGGCUAUUGCCGUGUAAAGCCCCUUCGACGAGUCGAGUUGUUUGGGAAUGCAGCUCUAAAUGGGAGGUACAUUUCUUCUAAAGCUAAAUAUUGGCCAGAGACCGAUAGCGCACAAGUAGAGUGAUCGAAAGAUGAAAAGCACUUUGGAAAGAGAGUCAAACAGCACGUGAAAUUGUUGAAAGGGAAGCGCUUGCAGCCAGACUUGCUUACAGUUGCUCAUCCGGGUUUUUACCCGGUGCACUCUUCUGUAGGCAGGCCAGCAUCAGUUUGGGCGGUAGGAUAAAGGUCUCUGUCACGUACCUCCUUUCGGGGAGGCCUUAUAGGGGAGACGACAUACUACCAGCCUGGACUGAGGUCCGCGCAUCUGCUAGGAUGCUGGCGUAAUGGCUGUAAGCGGCCCGUCUUGAAACACGGACCAAGGAGUCUAACAUCUAUGCGAGUGUUUGGGUGUCAAGCCCGAGCGCGUAAUGAAAGUGAACGGAGGUGGGAACCCGCAAGGGUGCACCAUCGACCGAUCCUGAUGUCUUCGGAAGGAUUUGAGUAAGAGCAUGGCUGUUGGGACCCGAAAGAUGGUGAACUAUGCUUGAAUAGGGUGAAGCCAGAGAAACUCUGGGAGCCCCC
rnacentral:rRNA from 1 species